rnacentral:rRNA from 1 species
UACGGAGGGUGCAAGCGUUAAUCGGAAUUACUGGGCGUAAAGCGCGCGUAGGUGGCUUGUUAAGUCGGAUGUGAAAGCCCCGGGCUCAACCUGGGAAUUGCAUCCGAUACUGGCAGGCUAGAGUGCGGGAGAGGGAGGUAGAAUUCCACGUGUAGCGGUGAAAUGCGUAGAUAUGUGGAGGAAUACCAGUGGCGAAGGCGGCCUCCUGGCUCGACACUGACACUGAGGUGCGAAAGCGUGGGUAGCAAACAGG